rnacentral:lncRNA from 1 species
GAAACUAUAAAUUACUUAGAACAGUUAUACGAAGAAAUUUACCCAGAAGGAUAUUAUUCAGAUUAAAAAAUGUUAGAAUAUAUUAGACAAACUAGAGAAAAUCAAGAAAACCUAAAUAAUGAAAUUAAUUAUAGAAACCGAAUUAGACAAAUAAUAAAAGACCUAAAAGAAAAAUUAAUAUGGAUAGAAAAAACCUUAGAAAAUUUAAAUAAAAGUACAUGUGAUAGUUUAUAUAAUUUAAAAAACUCACUACGAGAAGAACAACACAAAAUAAUAAAUAACAUUGAAAAUCUAGAAUUAGAUAUAUAUUAUAGCACAGAUAGGAUAAAUUAUUAUACAAGAAUUUGUAACUCUGUAAUUACUACAGGAUAAAAUAAUUAAUGAAUAUAUCUUACGAAAAAAGUAAAUUAUUAAAAGAUAACAUCCACGCACUAAAUAAAAAUAGAUUCCCUACAAAUAUGUACAAAAUCUAUUAUACCUACAAAUAAGAAGUUCCCUUCUUCUGGUAAAUAGUUCACAUGCAUGGUGUUUUUUUUGUUCAUGGAGAUCUCAAUGUACUUUUUAUAUUGUACUUAGAAAUCAACUAUAUCCUAGAAAAUUUAUUAGUUUCUUAUUAUAAUGUGAACUUCAUAUAUCAUGUUUUGGUAUGAACAUUAUGAAAACAUCUAGUUAAAGGGAUUUUUCCUUUUGUGAGAAGCAAGCCAUAUAGCGAAUUAAAAUAAAUCAAUAUUUUAAUUCUAAAAUUGAUCCAAAUUUUUUUUACCGGUGGCUUAUUUGAAAGGAGACGUAUCAAGUGAGUUUCUAACUAAUGUCUUAUUUAUUUUUCUGUCAUUUUUUCUUUCAUCUCUAUGAUGUUUUUUAUAGUGAUUUCAAUUUUUAGUGAGAAGCAGCCCAAGAAAAUAGCCAAUUACUUGAACUUAAAAUCUAAAUACUCAUCUUUGAGUACGAGUUUGCGAGUAUUUUGAUAGAGAGAUGCACAACUUGCCCUGUCACAGUCGAAGAAGAACGAAAGAAACUUCUUAACAAGUUUAGUGAGGCCAUCAUGUGUCCAAUAGGAAGCAAAUAUUAAUUUGAUUUCUUCAAAUAUUCAUUCAUGAGAUGCUUUAGUAAUUUAAUUAUUGACUUUAUCUGGGAUUUUCUUUUGCGGUUUGAAAAGUGGGAAGGUUUGGUCAAAUAAUUCAAGACAACAGCCGGUGAAAAGUAGAGAGUUGGAUGUGAAAAUUUUCAAUGAGAUUACAUAAUACAAGCUUGUUGCUUCUAUAGCAAUAAGUAUUUUAAUGUAUUAACUUGAAAAAAAAAUUGCCUUUUUGCCAUACUUUUGAUUAUUUUGUUUCAACCACUCCACCCGUCCUUGCCCAACCCCAUUUACUAUAUUUGAUUCUUUUUCUUUUCCUUUGUGAGUGUGUUUGGCCUCAAAUCCUCUUAAUAAGUAGUUAUUGAAGGGUGCAAAAUUCUUCAGAUUGGACAAAUAAGUUGAAUUCUUAUGCCAUGCUUGAGACAAACCUGAGCUUGUUGCAUGAUCAAUCUUCUAUGGUAGUCUCUUGCUCAUCAUAGUUCUAAUAUUGAUGCUCUAAGGCUCCAGAUAGAGAAAGCUAGAGAAAAAAG